rnacentral:lncRNA from 10 species
AGUUUACCCAGGGUUGGGGUCUGCCUGCUGCAGGGGUCAGUAGAGGCUCAGAUGCAGCCUGUGGGUUGUCUGAGGUCUUACCCAGGAGAUGCUGGGUGACACUUGGGACGUCUGCAGUUGUCAUAACUUAGGGAUGUUGCUGGCAUGGGGUGGGUGCAGGCCAGGGAUGCUGCUCAGGGCCUUGCAGUGCCCAGGAUGGCC